rnacentral:tRNA from 1 species
GGGCUCGUGGUCUAGUCUGGAUAGGACAUCAGCCUGCGAAGCUGGGGAUCGUGGGUUCGAAUCCCACCGGGCCCGCCA